rnacentral:rRNA from 1 species
GACGAACGCUGGCGGCGUGCUUAACACAUGCAAGUCGAACGGAAAGGCCCUGCUUUUGUGGGGUGCUCGAGUGGCGAACGGGUGAGUAACACGUGAGUAACCUGCCCUUGACUUUGGGAUAACUUCAGGAAACUGGGGCUAAUACCGGAUAGGAGCUCCUGCUGCAUGGUGGGGGUUGGAAAGUUUCGGCGGUUGGGGAUGGACUCGCGGCUUAUCAGCUUGUUGGUGGGGUAGUGGCUUACCAAGGCUUUGACGGGUAGCCGGCCUGAGAGGGUGACCGGCCACAUUGGGACUGAGAUACGGCCCAGACUCCUACGGGAGGCAGCAGUGGGGAAUAUUGCACAAUGGGCGGAAGCCUGAUGCAGCAACGCCGCGUGCGGGAUGACGGCCUUCGGGUUGUAAACCGCUUUCGCCUGUGACGAAGCGUGAGUGACGGUAAUGGGUAAAGAAGCACCGGCUAACUACGUGCCAGCAGCCGCGGUGAUACGUAGGGUGCGAGCGUUGUCCGGAUUUAUUGGGCGUAAAGGGCUCGUAGGUGGUUGAUCGCGUCGGAAGUGUAAUCUUGGGGCUUAACCCUGAGCGUGCUUUCGAUACGGGUUGACUUGAGGAAGGUAGGGGAGAAUGGAAUUCCUGGUGGAGCGGUGGAAUGCGCAGAUAUCAGGAGGAACACCAGUGGCGAAGGCGGUUCUCUGGGCCUUUCCUGACGCUGAGGAGCGAAAGCGUGGGGAGCGAACAGGCUUAGAUACCCUGGUAGUCCACGCUGUAAACGGUGGGUACUAGGUGUGGGGUCCAUUCCACGGGUUCCGUGCCGUAGCUAACGCUUUAAGUACCCCGCCUGGGGAGUACGGCCGCAAGGCUUAAACUCAAAGGAAUUGACGGGGCCCCGCACAAGCGGCGGAGCAUGCGGAUUAAUUCGAUGCAACGCGUAGAACCUUACCUGGGUUUGACAUGGAUCGGGAGUGCUCAGAGAUGGGUGUGCCUCUUUUGGGGUCGGUUCACAGGUGGUGCAUGGCUGUCGUCAGCUCGUGUCGUGAGAUGUUGGGUUAAGUCCCGCAACGAGCGCAACCCUUGUUCACUGUUGCCAGCACGUUAUGGUGGGGACUCAGUGGAGACCGCCGGGGUCAACUCGGAGGAAGGUGGGGAUGACGUCAAGUCAUCAUGCCCCUUAUGUCCAGGGCUUCACGCAUGCUACAAUGGCUGGUACAGAGAGUGGCGAGCCUGUGAGGGUGAGCGAAUCUCGGAAAGCCGGUCUCAGUUCGGAUUGGGGUCUGCAACUCGACCUCAUGAAGUCGGAGUCGCUAGUAAUCGCAAAUCAGCAACGCUGCGGUGAAUACGUUCCCGGG